GUAGGGGACGAGCGUUAUCCGGAUUUACUGGGCGUAAAGCGCAUGUAGGUGGCGCGGCAAGUUGGACGUGAAAGCUCCCGGCUUAACUGGGAGAGGUCGUACAAAACUGCCGAGCUUGAGGUUGGAAGAGGAGAGCGGAAUUCCCGGUGUAGUGGUGGAAUGCGUAGAUAUCGGGAGGAACACCAGUGGCGAAAGCGGCUCUCUGGUUCAAUACUGACACUGAGAUGCGAAAGCGUGGGGAGCGAACGGGAUUAGAUACCCCGGUAGUCCACGCUGUAAACGAUGGAUACUAGGUGUAGGCGGUCAUUAACCCCGUCUGUGCCGAAGCCAACGCGUUAAGUAUCCCGCCUGGGGACUACGGCCGCAAGGUUAAA
rnacentral:rRNA from 1 species